ACUGAACGCUGGCGGCAUGCCUUACACAUGCAAGUCGAACGGUAACAGGUCUUCGGAUGCUGACGAGUGGCGAACGGGUGAGUAACACGUGGGUGAUCUGCCCUGCACUUCGGGAUAAGCCUGGGAAACUGGGUCUAAUACCGGAUAGGACUCCGGACUGCAUGGUCUGGGGUGGAAAGCUUUUGCGGUGUGGGAUGGGCCCGCGGCCUAUCAGCUUGUUGGUGGGGUGAUGGCCUACCAAGGCGACGACGGGUAGCCGGCCUGAGAGGGUGACCGGCCACACUGGGACUGAGAUACGGCCCAGACUCCUACGGGAGGCAGCAGUGGGGAAUAUUGCACAAUGGGCGCAAGCCUGAUGCAGCGACGCCGCGUGAGGGAUGACGGCCUUCGGGUUGUAAACCUCUUUCAGCACAGACGAAGCGCAAGUGACGGUAUGUGCAGAAGAAGGACCGGCCAACUACGUGCCAGCCGCCGCAGUAA
rnacentral:rRNA from 1 species